rfam:Ovis aries breed Texel chromosome 13, whole genome shotgun sequence.
CCUGGUAGCUCAGAUGGUAAAGAAUCUGCCUGCAAUGCAGGAGACCCAGGUUCAAUUCCUGGGUCAGGA